CAAGGCCUUUAAAAACUAGUAGAGUGAUCUUUAUCUAAUAAAUAACAUGUCACAAAAAAACCUAUGAGGAGCUAGAGAAUCAAAAUGUACUACAAAAGAUUUGUUGCUUUUAGGAGGACCAAAACCUGAAAAGCAAUGAGCACUGGUUUUUAAAGAAGUCUCCUCCUUGGACAAACGCUAAUUCCAAGUCUGGGGCAGGGAAGGUACAAGAUGACCAGGAGACAUCUUCUUACAAGAAACAUGGGAGUGCCUGAAGACUAAUGGGGACAUGUCAAAAGGCCACAGAAACUUGAAAAGAAACUUGAAAUAGUCUGAUUUGGGACAAAUCUCUCCACACUCCUAACUCUACUUCGAUUCAGCAAGGCCGCCGGGCUUCACACACGCAGCCGGGAGCCCGCGCUCAGGCAGUAGCAGGGGCCGUCCCGGCGCUCCUCAUCUGCCUGCGGUCUCUCAUGAACUGACAGCGCUCACUGCCUGAUGCUCAAGAAGAUGCAGACGAGCGAGAUGACGCAGCGGACUGGGCCCCUGACGAGCGUUGGGAGGUCAUGUCCACAGAGGACAGGUCAUAGGCAGACUUCCUGCUGCAGUGGUCCUCCUGAAGGCCCAAACUGCCAGCUCCGGUACUGCCAGAGAACAAGCAACAGUGGUUAAAGAAUGAAUAAAAAGCCUAAAGGCACCACUAAAGCUA